UUUUUAUACGACCGCAAAAAAUUUUUGCGGUCGUAUAUUGGUAUGACGUUGGCGUCGUCGUCGUCGUCGUCGUCGUCGUCGUCCGGCGUCGUCCGGCGUCGUCCGAAGACACAUUGGUUUUCGCACUCUAACUUUAGUUUAAGUGAAUGGAUCUCUAUGAAAUUUUACCAUAAGGUUCAAUACCACAAAAGGAAGGUUGUGAUUGAUUUUGGGGGUUAUGGUACCAACAGUUAAGGAAUUAUGGGCCAAAAAGGGGCCAAAAAUAAGCAUUUUUGUAACUUCCAUACAUAACUUGUGUGUUAGUGUAUGGAUCUCUCUGACAUUGUAACACAAGGUUCCAUAUCACACAGGGAAUGCUGGGAUUUAUUUUGGGGGUAAUUGCCUCAAAAUAUUAGGAAUUAGGGGCCAAAAAGUGGCAAAAAACAAGCAUUUUUCUACUUUCAUGACAAUAACUUGUUUGUAAGUGUAUGGAUCUUUCUGAAAUUGUACUACAAGGUUCCAUAUCACAAAGGGAAAGCUGGAAUUGAGUUUGGGGGUAAUUGCCUAGAAAAGUUUAGGAAUAAGGGACACAAAACAAGCAUUUUUCUAGUUUCAUGACAAUAACUUGUGUGUAAGUGUAUGGAUCUUUCUGAAAUUGUACUACAAGGUUCCAUAUCACAAAGGGAAAGCUGGAAUUGAGUUAAGGGGUAAUUGCCCAAAACGUUUAGGAAUAAGGGGCCAAAAAUAAGCAUUUUUCUAGUUUCCAGACAAUUACUUGUGUUCAAGUGUAUAGAUCUCUCUGAAAUUGUACUGCAAGGUACCAUACCACAAAGGAAAGGCUGGGAUUGAUUUUGGGGGUAAUUGCCUCAAAAUUUUAGAAAUUAGGGGCCAUAAAGGGGCAAAAAAACAUGUAUUUUUCUAGUUUCCAGACAAUAACUUGUAUUCAAGUGUAUAGAUCUCUCUGAAAUUGUACUGCAAGAUACCAUACCACAAAGGGAAGGCUGGGAUUGAUUUUGGGGGUAAUUGCCUCAAAAUUUUAGAAAUUAGGGGCCAUAAAGGGGCAAAAAAACAAGCAUUUUUCUUGUUUCAGGACAAUAACUUUUGUGUAAGUGUAUGAAUCUUUAUGAAAUUGUACUGCAAUGUUCCAUAUCACAAAGGGAAAGCUGGGUUUGAGUUUGGGGGUAAUUGCCCUAAACGUUUAGGAAUUUGGGGCCAAAAAGGGGCCAAAAAACAAGCAUUUUUCUAGUUUCCAGACAAUAACUUGUGUUCAAGUGUAUGGAUCUCUCUGAAAUUGUACUGCAAGGUACCAUACCACAAAGGGAAGGCUGGGAUUGAUUUUGGGGGUAAUUGCCUCAAAAUUUUAGGAAUUAGGGGCCAAAAAGGGGCAAAAAACAAGCAUUUUUCUAGUUUCAAGACAAUAACUUGCGUGUAAGUGUAUGGAUCUUUUUGAAAUUGUACUACAAGGUUCCAUAUCACAAAGGGAAAGCUGGGUUUGAGUUUGGGGGUAAUUGCCCUAAACGUUUAGGAAUUUGGGGCCAAAAAGGGACCUAAAAACAAGCAUUUUUCUAGUUUCCAGACAAUAACUUGUGUUCAAGUGUAUGGAUCUCUCUGAAAUUGUACUGCAAGGUACCAUACCACAAAGGGAAGGCUGGGAUUGAGUUUGGGGGUAAUGAAUCAUAAGGGGGUUCAAAAAAUUUGG